GAUAUGUUCCUUAGAGAUUUUUGAUACUAGUUCUUUAAAUAAUAUGUCAUUUGCAAAUAUCUUCUCCCAUUCUGUCAGUUCAGUGACAAUUUAAAUAUG